rnacentral:rRNA from 1 species
UAAAAGUUUCUUAUUAUUGUAUAAGGGAUUAUAAUUAUUUAUAUAAAAAAUUAAUAAAUUUAAUUUUAAAGUAUUUAAAAGAAAUUUUUAAAGAAAUGAUAGUUUAAAAGUACUGAAAAGGAAAGUUUUGUUAUUUAAAUAAAGCAGUCUUUUAUUGUCGUACCUUUGGUAUCAGGGUUAAGCAAAAUUAAUCGAAUAGUAAGUAUAUCUCGAAAUAAAAAGAGUUAGUGUUAUUAAUAAUUCUAUAUAAUAAAGUAGUUUAUAAUUGAAUGCUAGUGAUGAUAUGUUAGUCGGUUUUUAUAUAUCUGGUUUUUAAUGAAAAAAAUUUAAUUUUAUUUUUCUUUAAAAUUAAGUGAAAAUUAAAAAAUAGGAGGUAAGAGCUUCUUGUUUUUAUAUGAGAAAUUUUAUUUAUUUCUAACUAAGUGGGCUUAAAAUCAGUCGUCUUUUUAUAACGUUAAAGUAAAGUUGUGAUAAUUUUAUAUUUUAUAAUGUUUCUGUUCAUAUUAAUUAAAAAUGUUAGUUAAUUGUUUUUUAGCAAUUAAAAUGUUUGUAUAAGUAUAAUUCUUGUUUUAUUUUAAAAUAAAUUAUUAUUUGUUUUUUAAUUUUUUUUGGUUAUUAAAAAGGAACUCGGCAAAUUAUCUCUUCACCUGUUUAUCAAAAACAUGUCUAUAUGAGCAUUAAUAUAAAGUCUAGCCUGCCCACUGAGUAAUUAAAGGGCUGCAGUAAUUUGACUGUGCAAAGGUAGCAUAAUCAGUAGUCUUUUAAUUGAAGGCUUGAAUGAAUGGCUGGAUGAGGGAGAAACUGUCUUUUUGGUAAAUUAAAAUUUGACUUUUAAGUGAAAAGGCUUAAAUUUAUUAAGGGGACGAUAAGACCCUAUAAAACUUAAUAUUUAUUUAUAUUUUGUUUUUAAAUUUUAAAUAAACUUUACAAAGUUUAGUAUAUAUUUUGUUGGGGAGACAUUGACAUAAUUAAUAACUGUCUAAUUUAAAUGUUUAUAGCUAUUGUUAUUAUAUGAUCCUUCUUUGAGGAUGAAAAGAGCAAGUUACUUUAGGGAUAACAGCGUAAUUUUUUCUGAGAGUUCUUAUCGAAGAAAAUAGUUGCGACCUCGAUGUUGAAUUAAAAUUUCUGUUAGGUGUAGCCGUUUAACAAGUAGGUCUGUUCGACCUUUUAAAUUUUACAUGAUUUGAGUUCAAACCGGUGUGAGCCAGGUUGGUUUCUAUCUUUUAUAUUAUUUUAAGAAAUUCUAGUACGAAAGGAUUGAGUUUUUAAGAUUUUCUUUUUGAAAGAUUUAAGGUAAU